UGGGGAAUAUUGCACAAUGGGCGCAAGCCUGAUGCAGCCAUGCCGCGUGUAUGAAGAAGGCCUUCGGGUUGUAAAGUACUUUCAGCGGGGAGGAAGGGAGUAAAGUUAAUACCUUUACUCAUUGACGUUACCCGCAGAAGAAGCACCGGCUAACUCCGUGCCAGCAGCCGCGGUAAUACGGAGGGUGCAAGCGUUAAUCGGAAUUACUGCGCGUAAAGCGCACGCAGGCGGUUUGUUAAGUCAGAUGUGAAAUCCCCGGGCUCAACCUGGGAACUGCAUCUGAUACUGGCAAGCUUGAGUCUCGUAGAGAGGGGUAGAAUUCCAGAUCUAGCGGUCAAAUGAGUAGAGAUCUGGUGGAAUGCCGGUGGCGAAGGCGGCCCCCUGAAUGAAGACUAACGCUCAGGUGCGAAAGCGUGGGGAGCAAACGGG
rnacentral:rRNA from 1 species